ACUUAGUUUUAAAAGUUAAAUUACACUGACACUGCACUGGGCAAACUUUGGUACCUCAGUGCUCAAGGUUUAAACACCAACCACAUCCUGUAACUGCAAACCGCAGACCUGGUCAAUGCUGAGUCUGAUGGCUUCUUUAACCUGAUCUACAAUCUGUCAUAAAAAGCCCUUAAACAGAGAAUGGCCAGCUUCUAGCACAGACAAGCAUUUUAAAUUUCUGUUUUCUAUAUAAUAAUGUAGCUGACAGUGAUCUUGUUAGAACAACAGCUGAGUUUGUCUGAUUUAUAAAAUGGGUGAAUAAUAAUAAUGAAACCAGAAAAGUUAUCUUUAAAGGAACUGAUCUGUGCAUGAUGUUAUAUCUUGUCACUUAGGAAAGCAAACAUUCACCUUUGUGAUAGUCUUAAAAACCUGAAGAAAGCAUAAGGCUUGUGUCCAAAACAGGUUCACGCUGCACAACAUCCAUGAGAUCAGACCUUAUCUGACAGAAUAUGCAGCACAACUUCUGGUUCAGGCUUUGGUCUCAUCACAUCUGGACUUCUGACAGGAGAACCCACAUGUGCUAUCAAGCCGCUGCAGGUAGUCCAGAAUGCAGCAGCCCAUCUUGUAUUUAACCAGCAGAGAUGGGCACAAGUCAGUCCUUUCUUCAGGUCACUACAUUUGCUCCCUGUAGCAGCACAUAUUAAGUUCAAAUCCCUAAUGCUUGCCUACAGAGUAGUCAGUGGGUCAGCACCUGUGUUUAUGAAGACACGGAUCACCUGAAGAGAAACCAGAAUAAAAUACUUCCUCCCAUUCCUGUACCCUUUACCUAGCCACACUUCCCAUCGACGUUACUUCUGAGUCUUUGAUCCUGGACCCACCUCUUCCUCCCCUGUCUCUAUAUGA